GACGAACGCUGGCGGCGUGCUUUACACAUGCAAGUCGAACGGAAAGGCCCUGCUUUUGUGGGGUGCUCGAGUGGCGAACGGGUGAGUAACACGUGAGUAACCUGCCCUUGACUUUGGGAUAACUUCAGGAAACUGGGGCUAAUACCGGAUAGGAGCUCCCGCUGCAUGGUGGGGGUUGGAAAGUUUCGGCGGUUGGGGAUGGACUCGCGGCUUAUCAGCUUGUUGGUGGGGUAGUGGCUUACCAAGGCUUUGACGGGUAGCCGGCCUGGGAGGGUGACCGGCCACAUUGGGACUGAGAUACGGCCCAGUCUCCUACGGGAGGCAGCAGUGGGGAAUAUUGCACAAUGGGCGGAAGCCAGAUGCAGCAACGCCGCGUGCGGGAUGACGGCCUUCAGGUUGUAAACCGCUUUCGCCUGUGACGAAACGUGAGUGACGGUAAUGGGUAAAGAAGCACCGGCUAACUACGUG
rnacentral:rRNA from 1 species